rnacentral:sRNA from 1 species
UCCAUUGCUUGACGUCCCUUCCGGGACGGG